rnacentral:rRNA from 1 species
UUUGUUUGGAGAGUUUG